rnacentral:rRNA from 1 species
GUAGGGAAUAUUGCACAAUGGGCGAAAGCCUGAUGCAGCAACGCCGCGUGCACGAUGAAGGUCUUCGGAUCGUAAAGUGCUUUUUGGGGAGACGAGGAAGGACGGUAUCCUCAGAAUAAGGAUCGGCUAACUACGUGCCAGCAGCCGCGGUAACACGUAGGAUCCGAGCGUUAUCCGAAUUUACUGGGCGUAAAGCGCGUGCAGGUGGUCUGAUAAGUUGGAUGUGAAAGCUCCUGGCUCAACUGGGAGAGGCCGUUCAAGACUGUCAGACUUGAGGACGGUAGAGGAAGGUGGAAUUCCCGGUGUAGUAGUGAAAUGCGUAGAUAUCGGGAGGAACACCAGUGGCGAAGGCGGCCUUCUGGACCGUAUCUGACACUGAGACGCGAAAGCUAGGGUAGCGAAUGGGAUUAGAUACCCCAGUAGUCC